rnacentral:rRNA from 1 species
AGAGUUUGAUCCUGGCUCAGACGAACGCUGGCGGCAGGCUUAACACACUGCAAGUCGAACGCGUCAUCUUCGGGAUGGGAGUGGCGAGACGGGUGAGUAACGACGUGGGAACUACCCUUUGGUUCGGAAUAACUCAGGGAAACUUGAGCUAAUACCGGAUACGUCCUUCGGGAGAAAGAUUUAUCGCCAAUGGAUGGGCCCGCGUCGGAUUAGCUAGUUGGUGGGGUAACGGCCUACCAAGGCAACGAUCCGUAGCUGGUCUGAGAGGAUGAUCAGCCACACUGGGACUGAGACACGGCCCAGACUCCUACGGGAGGCAGCAGUGGGGAAUAUUGGACAAUGGGCGCAAGCCUGAUCCAGCCAUGCCGCGUGAGUGAAGAAGGCCUUAGGGUUGUAAAGCUCUUUCAGCGGGGAAGAUAAUGACGGUACCCGCAGAAGAAGCCCCGGCUAACUUCGUG